AUAUAGUCCUUCAGUUUCGCCAAGGAGGUGGGCAGUCAUGUUAUGGGCUGGUCUCUUCUAUGAAUGUCGGACACCAUUCAUCACCAUAGAGGGUAAUUUGAGGGCUGUGCAGUAUCAGGACAGGAACCGGAAACCCAUUAGGCAUCUUUACCAUCGGGUGAGCCAAGGGUAGGAAGGUAGGAGUGGUGGUAGUCAUAAGAGUCACGGCAUCUCCCCCUCCCCCUUUUCCCAAAAAAGGUAAAAGCGUCUAUAAUUUAACACAUGUGAAUUCUCAAAUUUAUAAACUAACUUCCAGAGAAUAAAGUAGCUUAAAAACUAAGUUUUAUAAAUGACAAAGAAUUCUAUAAAUUAGAAGUUACGGGGACUUUUCAAUUUCUGUAUUUAUCUAAAGUAUGAUUUUUUUGAAAGUUAUGCUACAGAAAAUUACUAAACACGUCGUAUGAAAAUUAUCAUGAUUUUUACUUUUCUUCAUACAGGGUGUAUAUAGGCCCCGAAAAAAAUAUUCAUCCGGUUGAAAACUGCAAAAGAAACAGGGGAAUUUUAGAAUUCCGGGAAUUUUUCGCUUCUUUAGUCUUGUAGUUUUGACUCGUAGGAACUGAUGCUCUAACAAAGAAUUUUAAUUUAGUCUAGUGAUGGGCUAAACUGCGAUUUUCCGAUAUCAGUGAUUUCUGUGAAUGCUGCUUUUCAGUAUCUGCUAUUCUUAACUGUGAUUUGACGCAGUUAAGAGUCGCAGUUAAAGAACGUAGGUCGCGUAUCCCUCCGCCACUGCUAUUUCUGCGAUUUCUGCUACUUCUGCGACUUACCACCGUAUGAAAAAGUUACAUCUGCCCACACAGAAAAUUGCAUCUCAACAAAUCUGUCAUUGGUACCCGAGCUACAUUUCAGUCACUCAGUAAAUUGAUAACUCAAAAUAUCAUUGUCAACAGAUCUGGAGAAAUUGCACUGCGUCUUUAGACCGUUUUCGUUAGACGAGAGACACAGUUCUGACUCUUGAUUACUGGUUGCUGUACGUAUCUAUCCACAUCAAGGCUAUUGAGAGAGACUCGAGAAGAUUCAAGACAGCUCUUAGAGGAUUUGCAGUUUAAAAGUGACAUAAUUGUGCAGAUGAGUGAUUAAACUGUGUUUUAUUGAAGUUGUUAUGCGAUUUUAAAGGAAUAAUAAAUGUUAAAUACAGUGAUUGAAUAA